rnacentral:rRNA from 1 species
UACGUAGGGGCCUAGCGUUGUCCGGAUUUAUUGGGCGUAAAGAGCUCGUAGGUGGUUUGUCGCGUUGUCCGUGAAAACUCACAACUCAAUUGUGGGCGUGCGGGCGAUACGGGCAGACUGGAGUACUGCAGGGGAGACUGGAAUUCCUGGUGUAGCGGUGGAAUGCGCAGAUAUCAGGAGGAACACCGGUGGCGAAGGCGGGUCUCUGGGCAGUAACUGACGCUGAGGAGCGAAAGCGUGGGGAGCGAACAGG